rnacentral:tRNA from 1 species
UCCUGCCUGGUGCGUGGCUCGGCAUGCUGGGUGGCGGCCAGCUCGGCCGCAUGUUCACGCAUGCGGCGCAGGC